UACAGAGGGGGCAAGCGUUGUUCGGAAUUACUGGGCGUAAAGGGCGCGUAGGCGGCCUGCUAAGUCGAACGUGAAAUCCCCGAGCUCAACUCGGGAACUGCGUCCGAUACUGGCAGGCUUGAAUCCGGGAGAGGGAUGCGGAAUUCCAGGUGUAGCGGUGAAAUGCGUAGAUAUCGGAAGGAACACCAGUGGCGGAAGCGGCUUCCUGGUCCAGCACCGACGUUCAGGCCCGAAAGCGUGGGGAGCAAACAGG
rnacentral:rRNA from 1 species